rnacentral:rRNA from 1 species
GACAGGGGGGGCAAGCGUUGUUCGGAAUUACUGGGCGUAAAGCGCGCGUAGGCGGAUCUGCAAGUCGGGGGUGAAAUCCCGAGGCUCAACCUCGGAACUGCCUUCGAUACUGCGGGUCUCGAGUCCGGGAGAGGUGAGUGGAAUUCCUAGUGUAGAGGUGAAAUUCGUAGAUAUUAGGAAGAACACCAGUGGCGAAGGCGGCUCACUGGCCCGGUACUGACGCUGAGGCGCGAAAGCGUGGGGAGCAAACAGG